CCACAGCCCAGAGCUCACGUACAUCUGUCAGUUACUCCUUGAGCAACUCCACAAUGCACAGAGGCUCUCACUGCUCUGUGAAGAUGAUGCAUUCAGAAAGAUUCAGCCACCUACAUGCCGUCCAUCACACAGCAAGAGGACCAGCUAGCCAUUGGCUCGUGGGUGAGGGUUUGGUUUCCUUGAAAGAUGAGUAUUGUUUCAUUGUCUUCGUGACUCUGAGGGCCACCCCAGAGACACUUGCACUGUUUCUCCUGUCUAGACACACUGGCAGAUUUUCUGUUUAGACUAGUGGAUCUCAAUCUUUCUACGCUGCAGCCCUUUAGUACAGGUCUUUAUGUUGUGGUGACCCCUCAAUCAUAAAUUACUUUUGUUACUACUUCAUAACUAUGAUUUUGCCACUGUUAUGAACUGUAAGGUAAACCUUUGUGUUUUCUGAUGGUCUUAGACAACCCCUGUGAAAAGGCCACUCGAUACCCUUCCAAGAGGUGGUGGCCCAAAGGUUGAGAACCUCUGUGUUGCCUGGCUGCAAGAUAACACUUGGACUUACCUCUCUCUGUCUGUCUGUCUGUCUCUCUGUGUAUGUGUCUCUCCCUCUCUCUGUCUCUAUCUGUUUUUCUGUGUCUGUUUCUCUCCUGUCUAGACACACUGCCAAGUUUUCUCUUAAAGCAGUGGUUCUCAACCUUCUUUCUCUCUGUCUUUCUGUCUCUGUCUGUGUCUCUGUGUCUCUGUCUCUGUCUCUCUCUCACUCUCACAUCUGUGACAGUGCCGGGGAUGGAUCCCAGAGUCUAACACGUUAGACAGAGCUCUUAGCUGAACCCUGCCCUCAGUGUAUUUCUAACUUUGUAUUUUUACUUUUUUCUGACUGGCGAGCAAAAUAUUUUAAAAGGAGCCGGGUGUGGUGGUGCACACCUGUAAUUCCAGCACUCUGGGAGGCAGAGGCAGGCGGAUCUCUGUGUGUUCGAGGACAGCCUGUUCCAUAAAGCAAGCCCAGGACAGCCACGGCUACACAGAGAAACCUUGUCUCAAAAAAAAAAAAAAAAAAAAAAUGUUUCCACCGUGGCGUGGCUUUGGCACUUAGGAAGACGCAUCCCGUAUUUACACAAACCUGUCAUUGGACGCUGCCUCCCCUGAUAGGCACCUGGAAGAUGAAGGCUUCUGAGGGUCACAGAAAAAUAUGAGGUGUAAAGUUUAUACAGCUUCAGAGAAUUAUUUAAAAUGAAAUAAGACCUGUGUCCUGCCGUGCCUGUGGCGUCACCCUCAGCUCUGCCCAGCUAUGAAAACGAAAAGCUGUGCCCACCUCCUCGAUGUCCCCACCCCCACCAGCACCACCACCCACCUUCACAUCUCCCCGAAACCCUGAAUAAAGGGAAAAACCCUGCAAAAAGA